CUCCAUUGGAAUGUUAUCGAAGCCCCACGCUUUAUUAUUUUUUUGCAUUAUUGAUUGCAUUACGUACUUCAAAAAUGAAUAUUUCUUCAUUGAGAACAUCACCAUUUGUAUGGAUGUAGCUCUCAUUAUUAAAAAUGGGUGGUAAACCAUCGACGCAUGUUUACAAUAGCUAUGAGUACACAGUAUUUGUCAUGUGUCAAUCAGAAAAGAUUGUACGUUCUGAGGAAAGUUUUAAGGCUGCCUAUAAUGCUUCUGUCGGACAUGACCAUGACAUUGAUAAAACAAAAAUUACAAAUGUAAAGGCAGGCGUUAACGUUAAUCUUGAUACGAGACAAGAGAGGAGACAUAUCAACGAGGGUUUUGUAAAGAUAUGUCCUGGAGGAGUUGUCCGGUUUGAUGUGGAUACCAAAGGCACACAAUUUGUAUACAUAACUAUUUAUGACGAACACGGCAGUUUGAUUUGUGAAAAUCUGUCUAAAAAGGUAGAUUUUAGCAUUAUCAUAGAUUCUCGAAGCCAAGUUGUCGACACGAAGUACCACGAGUUAUACAAAGCAGCUAUUCCAGCGAUGCAACAAUAUAUUUACCCACCGGAGUUCUUUCAGGGAAAGUAAAAUAGAUGUCUCAAAAUCAUUUCCGAAAAACAGACAACGCUUUUAGAUUCAAGAUUAGUCAACAAUUAUUCUGAAUACUACGAAAGACUACGAAAGACACGUGAUGACAUUUCAGCUUCAUUAUUACAUGCUUUCUGCUUCAUGAUUGCACGAUUUCUACUUCAUGAAUUCACGAAUUCACGAUUUCUCCUUUUUGAUUUCACGAUUUCCACUUCAAUGAAUAAACUUAACGAUUUCAAGAUUUCCGCUUCACGAAUUCACGAUUUUAUUAUUAAACUUCACAAUUUCUUGAUUUCACGAUUUCCACUUCACGAAUUCACGAUUUGACGAAUUCACAAUCUCACCAUUUAACUUCACGAUUUCACAGUUUUUAUCAUUACAUGUAGGCUGAAACGAGUACCCGGGUACCCGAGGGUAGGGUAGAAAAUCGUCAGUAUCCGAGUACAUAUUCAUUACCCGUUACCUGAUGUAUAAAUUUGUUAUUAUGGUAUAUUAAGUCAUUUAACUGGAUAGCAAACAUGAAAAUAUGUUCGUUGCUAUAGCUAAUCAAUUUACAUGGACGAGGUUUACAUCCUGCUGCCUCAUGUACAGAAUAGUUUUGUGACAUCUAAGUUGACAUUUUUAUGGUGUUAAUUCGGAAGAAAUAUCAACUACUCCCAAACAUGGCUAUCUGCUCUAAAUAUCCUCAUAUGAACGAGAAUAACAACCGAUGAUUAUAAGGCACAUAUGCCGUAUUUUCAGUAUUAGCCCGGGGACCGACGGGUACCCAUGAGUAACUGUUCAACGGGUACCCGGGUACAAAAUUUGUUCUUGUUUCGGCCCUAAUUACAUGUAAUUAAUGGAGUUGACCUAGAAAACUUAAACAAUUUAAGGCCUUGUUUGUAGACCUUGAAAGACUUGAUUUUUCAAAAGUGUCGUGUUAAUUUGUGAUAAAAUCAAAGAUCAGAUAUUGGUGAAAAAGUGGGGUUCUUAUUUUGAAAAUGUUGCAGGCUCGGUUUGAUUUAAUCCGUUCAUGAGACUUCUAUACAGUUCGGUAAUAGUUUACAGUUACACCUAAAAUAUUUAAUCAAUGUCAACACAGAGACGGACGUUGAUGAUCAAGUAUAUCGUUGAUAACUGACCACCAUGGAAAGGUUACGAAGAAAAACACGAUUAAAGAUUGUUGGCCACAUUUUCGAAAUAGCAUCUAUUAAAUAAAAAUGAGAAUGGCCAGUUACUGGCUUAUUUAUAUGGUUGUAACAAGAAGCAUAUUGUGUACAGUAAACCCCGGUUAUAACGAACUCAUCGAGACAAGCAAAAUGUGCUCUUUUUAGCCUAAAUUUGUUAUGAAAAUAUAGCAAACAUGUUCGUUAUCUAGGCAAUAUGUGUACAGCCAGCUGAUUUUAUAUAAUUAUUUGAUUCAAUGUGCAUUGUCUUUGAAAUUUUAUAACAAUUUAGGUACAGUUAUGCAAUUUAGUUCAUUAUGCUACUAUUUGAUUGCUUGUUUUGUAAUAAUCCUGCCCAUGUAAAAUAUUACAUUCAUACGUCGUGUAUGCUAAUUGUUUAAAGAGUCAAAUUUCUAUAAUAAAAUUAUGAAACAAUGUCAAAAAUUGAUCAAAUGUUGGUUCCUGUACGAAAAAAAGGACCUGUUUUACAGCUGUAAAACGUCUGUAAAAGAACUGUAUUUUGACAUUACAACUGUAAAAGACCUGUAAGUGGAAAACUGAUCAGAAAUACAGUUAAAAUUUUCAGGUGUAAAAUAUGAAGGUCUCAAUUUACAGCUGUAAAAAAUUUACUGUUGAAAGUUACAGCUGUAAAAUGGUCAUGUCUCAAAAUUACAGCUGUAACAUUUUUGGAGGGAAACAUGAGUAUUGUCAGCCAUCUUUAAUGCAUUUUGGCGGGAUAUAACUGAAAUUCACACAGACAUCAAUUUUGGAAUUUAAAGCGGUAUAGAGUAAGUACAGAUGUUUAAUUAUCUAUUAUAGUUGUAAAAGGACAUGUAUAAGUACAUACAUUAACUAUUUACUCUAUACUGGAAGCCGAUAAGUUUAAAAGAAAUAAUUACAAGAUUGUCAUAUGUUUUCAUGACUGACAAAGAAAGUUUUAUAAACGAGAUCUGCAUAUGUUCUACUUUGUAUCCUACUCUUGAAUUUUGCUGUUGCUAUACUGUAAUCAUACCACAUAUACUUUACGUACUAGAUCAUUUAUUUUGCCAUUUUCAUAGUAAUUGCUACCUUAUCUAGAGAUUGCAAUUCAUCUUAAAACUUUUUGCACCUCUCCUUUCGUCCCUUAAAAUAAUGCCCUCUUUUUCAAUACCUAUAAUAUUUCUACAGCUGUAACUUUUGGGCAUUUUUACAGCUGUAACUUUUUUUUCAUUUUUACAGCUGUAACUUUUUUUACAGGUGUAGCUCAUUUGCAUAUUUCGAAUUGUUUUACAGUCGUUUGACAGCUGUAAAUUGAAAUCUACAGCUGUAAAAUCAAUAUUGUUAUAUAAAAUCUACAGGUGUAAAUUUGGAAUAGGCAUGACUGUUAUUUUGAACAAAAAUACAGGUCUUUUACAGCUGUAAAAUUUCGUACAGGUUGGAAAAUCGGCAAAAAGACAUUUUCAAACCGAUGUAACACAAUGAUAGCUCGCAGGUCAGUUUUCAGUUAAUUAAUCGUUGUGUUUAUUUUAUCUGUUAUUGAUUUUGGUAGAUGAUCCUGAUAAUUCUUACAAAUGAUACGCAUUCUGUUUACAUGCGUAGGUCAUUGUUGGUAUUUACUACUCAAGCAAAUUUCGUAACAUCGGAGUGUUUUAUCCAUUAAGUUUUGGCCUAAAUGACUUUGUUUACUAUUAUUACCGAUCAGAUAUUGCGAAAGUCUCAAAAGAAAUUGAUUUGGACAGCCUUAAUUACUUUAUUUUUGUUUUCGAUGGAAUUUUCAUUAAUUGGCCAGAAAUGUUAAUUUCUUUGUUUACCUGUUCAGUAUAUUGUUGUUGUUUACAAUUUAUACCAAAUGAAUCACCGUUGAAUGUUUUAUCUAUUAGAUUUGAUCCUAAUUAUUUUGUUUGUUUCGGUAACAGUCAUUUAUUUACGAAAAUACACAAUGGUGAUUGAUUCUACAUCUGUUGUUUACUAUUAUAUGAGUACAUAAUGGACGUUUUGAUUGACAUGUUUUUGAAAUUGCUUUGAAUAUUUUGAAAUACUUGUAAACAUGUUAUUGCGUUGUAGUUCGUGAAAAAGGUAUAAAUAUUCAGAAAAUUAAGAGAAGAGAGGAGAAUGGGGAGAGGAGGACCGAGUCAAGAAAAGAGAGGACUGAGUUAAGAAGAGAGAGACAGAAUCAGGAAGUUAGAAAUGUUUUACAAAAAUGGGAUCGUAUAAUAGCAGUUCGGAUCGGUUCAGAUCAGCUCGGUUAAGUUCAGUUUUGGGCUCGGGUUUAAGAGCGGGUUAAAAAUAAGUGUGGAAGAUUUAGAACUGAUUAUUAUGUUAUAGAACUUUUUGACUUAAGAAUACAAAUUAAUUAAAAGUUUGACGCGGGAAAAUACUAUUUAAAAAGCUGAUGUAUUUAUACCUGAAUUGACUAUUAGUAUAGUUGUUUGUUCUGUAUAACCUUGUAAAUAAAACCGAGUGUGAAAAAC